GUUUUCGAAAGUCGGCGACUUUUCUUUAGUAUCCAACUGUAGCCAACUGCCAAGUAAGUUGAUCCUUUAAUUUGGAUUUAUUAUUGGAGUCGGUCACAGCCAAGGUCGAUUAAGUCCCAGAUAUAUCGACUGACUUGCAUACCAGAAAAUGAAAGAAAAUUCUGAGCAGAACGGCAGCUGUCCAGAGUAUUAUCGCUUGCUUCUUAAUCGAUUUGAAGCAAAUCUGGAACUUAGUUAAUGUUAUCCAAUGAAUCCGAGACGAAUACAGUGCAUGAGGAAGCGUAAUUCAGGCAACGAAAGGAAUGUUCGUAGCAACUAGCAAGCCUCUUCUUCGUACACACGACUAGUACAGUGGUACGUGUUGCUUCUUCUUGGUGGCAUUCAAUGGCUUUGUGUAUAUUCUAUGUCACAUCAUUCAGUGUUCCUACGCCUCGGGAUCUCUAAUUGCUUCAACUUCACUGUUGGCAAGAAUACGAUGAUAAUAAUUACUCCCUCCGUCCCAUUUUAUUUUGGGACGUCCCAAAAGAAUGAACCUACAAUACUUACUAUUUUUGAACACUAUUUUUCACUAUUACACCCACUACUUUCUACCACUAUCUCUUUUCUAUAAUAAUAUAAACACUAUUACAGCCACUAUCCUCCUCCACUAUCUCAAAUCUAUUAUUAAAUAUUGGUAGGUCCCACCACUUUACCCACUUUUCAACUAAACUUACUACAUUUUUCUUAAUCUCCGUGAAAGUCAAACCAGCUCACUCUUUUUGGGACGGAGGGAGUAUAAAUUAAGCUACAUAUCGUGCAAACCGCGCCACCCCGCACUCACAGUGAGAGCAGAUCGAGUAAGAGACAUGAGAGACACGUGCCCCUCCUAAACAAAAAAUUUGACGUUUUUUCAUCAUUCUAAAUUUUAUAAGAUUAUAUAAGCGUCCUCCUGAAAAUCUGAAAAUUUACAGAUAUUUUUGGAAAAUUUGCUUGGUGUCCCAUAAGAAACUAUUGCUAAAUCCCCCCGCACACAGCACACACAUAUAAUUAAUUGAAUAUUUAGCACGGUGUUCCACAUUCACCACUUUGCCCGUGAUUCCUCUUUUGUUAUUCUAAUUUCUAUCAGUGCUCUGCUUUCAUGGAAGUUUCAGCUUUGCAAUGCGUGUUUUAGGCACACAUGCACCCCUUUGGUUAAGAUAACUCCCUGUUUGUCUGUGCAGUUAAUUUAUAUUAAUAUAAUCCCACAACAAGGGCCAGUGCCAAACAAUCUUGCAUUCUACCUGUCAGGGACGAAGCCAGCAAACAUCUUUAAGGGGGGC
rnacentral:lncRNA from 1 species